rnacentral:rRNA from 1 species
CCCUUAGAUGUUCUGGGCCGCACACGCGCUACACUGAAGGAGGCAGCGUGUACUCCUGGAUCGAAAGAUUUGGGUAACCCGCGAAUCUCUUUCGUGCUAGGGAUUGAGGUUUGCAAUUAUCCUUCAUGAACGAGGAAUUCCCAGUAAGUGCAAGUCAUAAGCUUGCGCUGACUACGUCCCUGCCCUUUGUACACACCGCCCGUCGCUACUACCGAUUGAAUGAUUUAGUGAGGACUUCGGACUGGGACCGAUGCGGCUUUCGGGCUGCGUCGGUAUUCUGGAAAGAUGUCCAAACUGUAUCAUUUAGAGGAAGUAAAAGUCGUAACA